GUGCUUGCUUCAGCCAGCAUAUAUACUAAAAUUGGAACGAUACAGAGAUGAUUCGCUUGGCCCCUGUGCAAGAAUGACAUGCAAAUUGGUGAAGUGUUACAUAUUUCU